UCUGGGAUUGUCUAUAUUGGUAAAAGUGAAUGCAUACCAAUAUCCACAAUCCUUGAGC
rnacentral:pre_miRNA from 1 species